rnacentral:rRNA from 1 species
ACGGCGAGUGAAGCGGGAAGAGCUCAAAUUUGAAAUCUGGUAGCCUUCGGUUGCCCGAGUUGUAAUCUAGAGAAGUGUUUUCCGUGCCGGCCCAUGUACAAGUCCCUUGGAACAGGGCGUCAUAGAGGGUGAGAAUCCCGUCCUUGACAUGGACCCCCGGUGCUUUGUGAUACACUUUCAACGAGUCGAGUUGUUUGGGAAUGCAGCUCAAAAUGGGUGGUGAAUUCCAUCUAAAGCUAAAUAUUGGCGAGAGACCGAUAGCGAACAAGUACCGUGAGGGAAAGAUGAAAAGCACUUUGGAAAGAGAGUUAAACAGUACGUGAAAUUGUUGAAAGGGAAACGAUUGAAGUCAGUCAUGCUCUUGGGGACUUACCUCCCUUGAGUGGGGUCAACAUCAGUUUUGAUCGAUGGAUAAAGGCACGGGGAAGGUAGCACUCUCGGGUGAACUUAUAGCCUCGCGUCAUAUACAUUGAUUGGGACUGAGGAACGCAGCAUGCCUUAUGGCCGGGAUUCGUCCACGUACAUG